rnacentral:rRNA from 1 species
CACCAGGUUGAUUCUGCCUGACGUAGACGCUAUUCCCUAAGAUUAACCCAUGCAUGUUUUUGAUAUGGAAAAAUGGACUGCUCAGUAAUACUCACUUUAUUUAAUGUAUUAAAUUAGUAUAACUGCGUUAAAGUGUAGCUAGCAUAAGACAUAUACAGUAAGAGUGAGACCUAUCAGCUAGUUGUUAAGGUAAUGGCUUAACAAGGCAAUGACGGGUAACGGUAUUACUUUGUAAUAUUCCGGAGAAGGAGCCUGAGAGACGGCUACUAAGUCUAAGGAUUGCAGCAGGGGCGAAACUUGACCUAUGGAUUUUAUCUGAGGCAGUUAUGGGAAGUAAUAUUCUAUUGUUUCAUAUUGUAAAAGUAUAUGAGGUGAUUAAUUGGAGGGCAAAUCAAGUGCCAGCAGCCGCGGUAAUACUUGUUCCAAGAGUGUGUAUGAUGAUUGAUGCAGUUAAAAAGUCCGUAGUUUAUAUUUAAGAAGCAAUAUGAGGUGUACUGUAUAGUUGGGAGAGAGAUGAAAUGUGACGACCCUGACUGGACGAACAGAAGCGAAAGCUGUACACUUGUAUGUAUUUUUUGAACAAGGACGUAAGCUGGAGGAGCGAAGAUGAUUAGAUACCAUUGUAGUUCCAGCAGUAAACUAUGCCGACGAUGUGAUAUGAUAUUAAUUGUAUUAGAUGAUAGAAAUUUGAGCUUUUUGGCUCUGGGGAUAGUAUGAUCGCAAGAUUGAAAAUUAAAGAAAUUGACGGAAGAAUACCACAAGGAGUGGAUUGUGCGGCUUAAUUUGACUCAACGCGAGGUAACUUACCAAUAUUUUAUUAUUCAGAGAAGAUUUAUAAUCUGAGAAUGAUAAUAGUGGUGCAUGGCCGUUUUCAAUGGAUGCUGUGAAGUUUUGAUUAAUUUCAACAAGACGUGAGACCCUUUUAUUAAUAGACAGACACAAUCAGUGUAGGAAGGAAAGGAUUAAAACAGGUCCGUUAUGCCCUCAGACAUUUUGGGCUGCACGCGCAAUACAAUAGAUAUAUAAUCUUUAUGGGAUAAUAUUUUGUAAGAGAUAUUUGAACUUGGAAUUGCUAGUAAAUUUUAUUAAAUAAGUAGAAUUGAAUGUGUCCCUGUUCUUUGUACACACCGCCCGUCGCUAUCUAAGAUGAUAUGUGUUGUGAAAUUAGUGAAAACUACUUGAACAAUAUGUAUUAGAUCUGAUAUAAGUCGUAACAUGGUUGCUGUUGGAGAACCAUUAGCAGGAUCAUAA